rnacentral:tRNA from 1 species
GCCUGGGUGGCUCAGUUGGUUAAGCAUCUGACUUUGGCUCAGGUCACAAUCUCAUGGUUCGUGGGUUCGAGCCCCGCGUCAGGCU